CCUGUCAACAUCACAGUUCAUGAUGGUCGUGUGGUCCUGGAGAGUUCUGUUCAUCCUGUGACUGAGGGACAUCCUCUGACUCUACACUGUUUAUAUCGUAACACAAAUCCCUCAAACCUCCGAGCUGAUUUCUAUAAAGAUGGAUCAGUCGUCCAGAACCAGACUACAGGAGAGAUGAUCAUCCAUAAAGUCUCAAAGUCAGAUGAAGGUUUCUACCACUGUAAACACCCAGAGAGAGGAGAGUCACCGAGAAGCUGGAUCUCAGUCAGACGCUCUGUCUCAAUCUCAGGAUCUAGACCCAGUGGUGAAACAGUAGGAGUGGCUGUGGGACUGAGUUUGUCCUUUUUGUUCAUCAUUUUGCUGAUAUUAAUGAUCCUGCUGUGGUUCUACAAAAUGAAGAAAG